CAAGUUAUUCCUUACUAGUAAGGUUGUUCAUUUACGCUGGACUUUUCGUCGUGCGAUUCGACGUGGCUUGA
rnacentral:tRNA from 1 species